rnacentral:rRNA from 1 species
CAGUAGCCGCGGGAAAACAGAGGGUGCGAGCGUUAAUCGGAUUUACUGGGCGUAAAUCGUGCGUAGGCGGCUUUUUAAGUCGGAUGUGAAAUCCCUGAGCUUAACUUAGGAAUUGCAUUCGAUACUGGGAAGCUAGAGUAUGGGAGAGGAUGGUAGAAUUCCAGGUGUAGCGGUGAAAUGCGUAGAGAUCUGGAGGAAUACCGAUGGCGAAGGCAGCCAUCUGGCCUAAUACUGACGCUGAGGUACGAAAGCAUGGGGAGCAAACAGGAUUAGAUACCCGGGUAGUCCCUGUCUCUUAUAC